AACGAACGCUGGCGGCAGGCCUAACACAUGCAAGUCGAGCGAAGCCUUCGGGCUUAGCGGCGGACGGGUGAGUAACGCGUGGGAACGUGCCCUUUGCUACGGAAUAGCCCCGGGAAACUGGGAGUAAUACCGUAUGUGCCCUUCGGGGGAAAGAUUUAUCGGCAAAGGAUCGGCCCGCGUUGGAUUAGGUAGUUGGGGGGGUAAUGGCCUACCAAGCCGACGAUCCAUAGCUGGUUUGAGAGGAUGAUCAGCCACACUGGGACUGAGACACGGCCCAGACUCCUACGGGAGGCAGCAGUGGGGAAUCUUAGACAAUGGGCGCAAGCCUGAUCUAGCCAUGCCGCGUGAUCGAUGAAGGCCUUAGGGUUGUAAAGAUCUUUCAGGUGGGAAGAUAAUGACUGUACCACCAGAAGAAGCACCGGCUAACUACGUGCCAGCAGCCGCCGUAAAAC
rnacentral:rRNA from 1 species